UACAGAGGUCUCAAGCGUUGUUCGGAUUCAUUGGGGCGUAAAGGGUGCGUAGGCGGCGCGGUAAGUCGGGUGUGAAAUCUCGGAGCUUAACUCCGAAACUGCAUUCGAUACUGCCGUGCUUGAGGACUGGAGAGGAGACUGGAAUUUACGGUGUAGCGGUGAAAUGCGUAGAUAUCGUAAGGAAGACCAGUGGCGAAGGCGGGUCUCUGGACAGUUCCUGACGCUGAGGCACGAAGGUCAGGGGAGCAAGACGGGA
rnacentral:rRNA from 1 species